CGAGCCUGACAAGUUUGAUGGUGGGCAACAUUCUCACUCAUAGAGCAUCACACCAGGAAAAUCAUCGGAACCAAUCAAAGCCACAACCGAACACUACGUUUUACAGCUGACUGAAUACAGAAAGCAGAGGAGUAACCGGCACAUUCUAAGGACCCAAAUGUCUUCAUAUCAGUAACGCCCAAGGAAAGGCUUCAUAUUACUUCCUAAAUAUUUUCUUGCAGUCAGUUUUCAAGAUGGCCGGCUGCUUGUCUCAAUAAGCGAGGUCCUGGAUACCUUAUCUAGAUGGAUUCUGCAGCACGUGGUCCACAAGGCACUGCAGAGAGCGGGGAAUAGACCCAAGCCUCCUUGGAAAGAGCUCCUUUGCUGUGCUUCAGGAGCGGACUCCACCUCCAGCACUUCAGGACUUCCCUGGUUAAGAAUGAGCUUGCCAAUGCAGGGGACAUGGGUUCCAUCCCUGGUCCGGGAAGAUCCUACAUGCCUUGGAGCAACUAAGCCCGUGCGCCACAACUACUGAAGUCCGCGCACUCUAGGGCCCACAUGUCGCAACUACUGAGCCCACAUGCUGCAACUACUGAAGCCCACGCACCUAGAGCUGCAAUCCACAAGAGAAGCCACUGCAAUGAGAAGCCCUUGCACCGCAACGAAGAGUAGCCCCUGCUGACCACAACUAGAGAAAGGCCGCACGCAGCAAGAAGACCCAACACAGCCAAAAAUAAUAAAUAAAUAAAUAAAUGACUUUUUCA